rnacentral:rRNA from 1 species
UGGGGAAUAUUGGACAAUGGGCGAAAGCCUGAUCCAGCAAUGCCGCGUGAGUGAUGAAGGCCUUAGGGUUGUAAAGCUCUUUUACCCGGGAUGAUAAUGACAGUACCGGGAGAAUAAGCUCCGGCUAACUCCGUGCCAGCAGCCGCGGUAAUACGGAGGGAGCUAGCGUUGUUCGGAAUUACUGGGCGUAAAGCGCACGUAGGCGGCGAUUCAAGUCAGAGGUGAAAGCCCGGGGCUCAACCCUGGAACUGCCUCUCAUACUGGCGAUCUCGAGUCCGGAAGAGGUGAGUGGAAUUCCGAGUGUAGAGGUGAAAUUCGUAGAUAUUCGGAGGAACACCAGUGGCGAAGGCGGCUCACUGGUCCGGUACUGACGCUGAGGUGCGAAAGCGUGGGGAGCAAA